rnacentral:rRNA from 1 species
GCCUCCCAAAAGGUAACGGAGGCGCUCAAAGGUUCUCUCAGUACGGUCGGAAAUCGUACGUAGAGUGUAAAGGCAAAAGAGAGCUUGAUUGCAAGACAUACAGGUCGAGCAAGGAUGAAAAUCGGACUUAGUGAUCCGGUGGGUCUGCGUGGAAGGGCCAUCGCUCAACGGAUAAAAGCUACCCUGGGGAUAACAGGCUUAUCUCCCCCAAGAGUCCACAUCGACGGGGAGGUUUGGCACCUCGAUGUCGGCUCAUCACAUCCUGGGGCUGUAGUAGGUCCCAAGGGUUGGGCUGUUCGCCCAUUAAAGUGGUACGCGAGCUGGGUUCAGAACGUCGUGAGACAGUUCGGUCCCUAUCCGUCGCAGGCGUAGGAAAUUUGAGAAGACCUGUCCUUAGUACGAGAGGACCGGGAUGGACGUACCUCUGGUGUACCAGUUGU